rnacentral:rRNA from 1 species
GACGAACGCUGGCGGCGUGCUUAACACAUGCAAGUCGAACGGAGUGGCGAACGGGUGAGUAACACGUGGGUGACCUGCCCUGCACUUCGGGAUAAGCCUGGGAAACUGGGUCUAAUACCGGAUAGUGUGGGAUGGGCCCGCGGCCUAUCAGCUUGUUGGUGGGGUAAUGGUCUACGAAGGCGGCGACGGGUAGCCGGCCUGAGAGGGGGGACAGGCACAUGGGGACUGAGGCACGGCCCAGACUGCUACGGGAGGCAGCAGUGGGGAGUAUUGCACAAUAGGCGGGAGCCUGAGGCAGCGGCGCCGCGUGGGGGAAGACGGCCUUCGGGUUGUAAACUCCUUUCACCAUCGACGCGGUAGAUGGAGAAGAAGCACCGGCUAACUACGUGCCAGCCGCCGCGGUAAUUC